rnacentral:rRNA from 1 species
AUUGAACGCUGGCGGAAUGCUUUACACGUGCAAGUCGAACGGCAGCACGGACUUCGGUCUGGUGGCGAGUGGCGAACGGGUGAGUAAUGUAUCGGAACGUGCCCAGUCGUGGGGGAUAACGUAGUGAAAAUUACGCUAAUACCGCAUACGAUCUAUGGAUGAAAGCGGGGGAUCGCAAGACCUCGCGCGAUUGGAGCGGCCGAUAUCAGAUUAGGUAGUUGGUAGGGUAAAGGCCCACCAAGCCAACGAUCCGUAGCUGGUCUGAGAGGACGACCAGCCACACUGGAACUGAGACACGGUCCAGACUCCUACGGGAGGCAGCAGUGGGGAAUUUUGGACAAUGGGCGAAAGCCUGAUUCAGCCAUUCCGCGUGCAGGAUGAAGGCCCUCGGGUUGUAAACUGCUUUUGUACAGAACGAAAAGGUUUCUACUAAUACUAGGAGCUCAUGACGGUACUGUAAGAAUAAGCACCGGCUAACUACGUGCCAGCCGCCGCGGUAA